UCUUUUAAAGUUUCAACUUUUAAGUUUUUGCUAUGAAAUUAAAAUUUAAAUAAUUACAUGGAUAGAAAAAGAAAGUUGAAUUUUAAAUAAUUUAUUGAAAGUAAUCAAGGAAAUUAGGUGAUAUUCCACUUUCUAAGUAUGUGGCUAUACUUUAUAUUGAUUUUAUUUUUGAGUAAUCCAAUUUCAUGUUUAAAUUAGUUUUUACUAACAAUGAAUUAAUUAUUAUUUUUCUAUUAAUAUAAAAAAAAAUGUCGAUGGAAACUACCUAAGAGCAUUAUCCCAAAUUGCCAUUUUUAUAUUAGCAAACUAUAAAAAGUGGGCAUUAUCCGAGGUAAAAAAUUUUACAAUUUAGCUAGUGUAAUGUAUUACUUAUAAGAUGUUAUUGUAGCAAGUUUUCUAAUUUUUUGUUUAAAAAUUUAAUUUUUUUAAUCUCUCUCUUUCUCUCUCUCUCCCCCACUACCAAGAGCGGUGGUUGUUCUUUCCAACCAUGAAACUCUUUGCCUCUCUUUUCGUUCUAGUGCCAAAAGGCCUCUAGGCGGUGUGAUGCUCACGAACUAGAGUGGCGAUCAAUCUUACCAUGGCUGUGGUGGUGACUAUAUGUCGUGUUUGUGGGUGUUUGGUGGUGGUGAAACUUGUGGUGGUAAUGGGUCUUGAAGUGGAGGGUAUUUGUUACGUUUGUGGGUGAAGAUCGAGUGUCUUCAUGGUGGGUUAGCGGUGGAGAUUGUAGUGGGUUCGUGGUGGAGAUUGGAAAUUGGUGGUGGAUUUGAUGGUUUAUGGCUUUUGAUGGUGGUGGUGAUUGGUUUUGAUUGUUGGUGAAGAGAGAGAAAUGGUGAGGAAAAGAGUGUGAAGUGAAGAGAGAAAUAUGAUGCAUGCGUUUAGCUUAUUUUCAACGGUCCCCCGUGCUGAAGGCAUUGGCAAAAAGUCAUUUAUGUCUCUACAAAAGGUUCUAUUUGAUUAAUAAACCUUUACUCCCAAAGAAGAUAACAAUUCAAUUUUCAUGUAAGUCUCAUUAGUUAACUCAGCUUCUAAUUUUUUUAUUUUAUUUUUUUGCCUCAUAUGCUAUAUAUUUGUUACCCAUAUAUGAUUAGUUAUUCCAUUAAUUUUUAUUUUUGUAUUUCUUAAAAUAUUAAUUCUUAUUAUCAUGUAAUCACUAUACCAAUGUACUAAUAUUGCCUUAGUUUGUUUAAUAUUUCCUUAAUCUUCAUGUGGAAUGUUUUGUCAUGUUAGAAUCUGUUUUUGAUGUUUUAUGCAUUUUAAUUUAAUGCAUUAUAUAUUCUAGAUAAAAUAUUAAUUAAUAAAUUGUAUAAAAAAUUGAGUGUGGUGUGGGUGGAGUGGGUACAGUGAAGAUGACAACCCACUCCUUUGCCUUUUCUUCUUAUUGACUUUUACUUUUCUUCUUUAUUUUAAAUAACUCAUGGACGGAUACUUCUGCCUUUGUGCGCAAGUUUUCUUUUUUUAUUCAUCCAAUAAAAAAAUUAUUUGCCAGAUUACAACAACUAAUUGAUGGAGGUAAAUGUUUAAGAUUGAAGCCACACGUUCUUAAUGUGAUGAUCACUUUAUGAAUAUAAGUGCUUGUAAGAUGUAAAAAAAGGGUCGUAAUUCAAGUUUUUAGAAAUUUUUUUUACAUAUAUAUAUAUUUAGGUUAGGGUAGUGUGAAAGACUACUGCUUCAUAAAAUGUUUAAGAUUGUUCUUUUCAUUUUUCUCGUGGAUUGCAAAGAUCUUAGGAGCCUGACGUUUUUACUUUCUUGCUGUUUGCCGGGUCAAUAGUAAAUAAGAGCAACUACACAAGAAAUUAAUGCGUUGUUAUUUUUUUGUAAAUAGGCAAAUGUCAUUGAUCAGGAACAAGGUACAUGUACAACAAAACACCAACCGAAAGACUGAAACUUAUGGAAAAAAAAAAAAAAAA